GACGAACGCUGGCGGCGUGCUUAACACAUGCAAGUCGAACGGUGAAGGGGUCUGCUUUUGUGGGCCCUGGAUGAGUGGCGCACGGGUGAGUAACACGUGAGUAACCUGCCCCCUUCUUCUGGAUAACCGCAUGAAAGUGUGGCUAAUACGGGAUAUUCUGGGUCUGUCGCAUGAUGGGUCUGGGAAAGAUUGCGCCUUUGGGUGUUUUUGGUGGGGGAUGGGCUCGCGGCCUAUCAGCUUGUUGGUGGGGUGAUGGCCUACCAAGGCGGUGACGGGUAGCCGGCCUGAGAGGGUGGACGGUCACACUGGGACUGAGACACGGCCCAGACUCCUACGGGAGGCAGCAGUGGGGAAUAGUGCACAAUGGGCGCAAGCCUGAUGCAGCGACGCCGCGUGAGGGAUGGAGGCCUUCGGGUUGUAAACCUCUUUCGCCAGUGAAGCAGGCCUGCUCCGUGUGGGUGGGUUGACGGUAGCUGGAGAAGAAGCGCCGGCUAACUACGUG
rnacentral:rRNA from 1 species